GCCCUGGUGGAGCAAUAGUUAAGCACUUAGCUGCUAACCAAAAGGUUGGUGGUUCGAACCCACCCAACGGCC
rfam:Loxodonta africana unplaced genomic scaffold scaffold_4, whole genome shotgun sequence.